GUGCCAGCGCCGCGGUAAUACCGGCAGCCCGAGUGAUGGCCGAUAUUAUUGGGCCUAAAGCGUCCGUAGCUGGCCGAACAAGUCCGUCGGGAAAUCCACGUGCUCAACGCGUGGGCGUCCAGCGGAAACUGCCUGGCUUGGGGCCGGAGGACUCGAGGGGUACGUCCGGGGUAGGAGUGAAAUCCCGUAAUCCCGGACGGACCACCGAUGGCGAAAGCACUCUGAGAAGACGGCUUCGACAGUGAGGGACGAAAGCUAGGGUCUCAAACCGGAUUAGAUACCCUAGUAGUCC
rnacentral:rRNA from 1 species